AUUGAACGCUGGCGGCAGGCCUAACACAUGCAAGUCGAACGAGUGGCGGACGGGUGAGUAAUGUCUGCGAAUCUGCCUGAUGGCGGGGGGUAAGUGCUGGAAACGGUAGCUAAUACCGCAUACCAUCAUUUCAGCCCAGAUGGGAUUAGCUUGUUGGUGGGGUAACGGCUCACCAAGGAGACGAUCCCUAGCCGGUCUGAGAGGAUGACCAGCCAACCUGGAACGGAGAACCGGCCCAGACUCCUAGGGGAGGAAGCAGUGGGAAAUAUUGCAAAAUGGGCGAAAGCCUGAUGCAGCCAUGCGGGGGGGAUGAAGAAGGCCUCCGGGUUGUAAAGUACUUUCAGCGGGGAGGCGUUACCCGCAGAAGAAGCACCGGCUAACUCCGUGCCAGCAGCCGCGGUAAUAC
rnacentral:rRNA from 1 species